CGAGUCAAGGUUUUGGAAGGUUUACUUGAUUGCACAGCACUUGGAAGACUUUGAUGCACUUGUAACACCCACGUGAGGUAGGGUGUAUGGCUACCUUCACAGCAGCAACAGGAGGACCCACAGAAAUAAGGAGAAGCUGAUUUGGUUUGAAAUAAAAUCCUGAACAUUUCAUGGACUCGAACCUGAAUUGUAUCUGGAGACUUAUCUGGAGGCCAUCCCAUUCCUUCCAGUUCCAGAUUGGAAGUGGCAGAACCAACAGGCAGAAACCCCUGUCCUGG
rnacentral:lncRNA from 1 species